rnacentral:rRNA from 1 species
GACGAACGCUGGCGGCGUGCUUAACACAUGCAAGUCGAACGAAAAGCGAUUGCAUCUUGCUUCUAUCCGUCUUAGUGGCGAACGGGUGAGUAACGCGUAAUCAACCUUCCCUUCUGAGGUGGCCUACAGUUGGAAACGACUACUCAUACCACAUACGCCCUCUUCUCGGCAUCGAGGGUAGAUUAACGGUGGCCUCUACUUGUAACCUAUCACUUCAGGUGGGGAUUGCGUCGGAUUAGCUAGUUGGCGGGGUAACGUCCCACGAAGGCGAUGAUCAGGAGUCGGAAGGAGAGGAUGAACGGCCACAUUGGGAGUGAGACACGGCCCAGACGGAUACGGGAGGGAGCAGGGGGGAAACGUGAGCAAGGGACGAAAGACUGACGGAGAAACGCGGAGGGAGGGAUGACGGACGUCGGGUUGUAAAGGUCGGUUAAUCGGGACGAAAGGCCUUCUGGCGAAGAGUGAGAAGGAUUGACGGUACCGGAAUAGAAAGCCACGGCUAACUACGUG